CUCCCGCCGCAGAGACGCAGCACCAGGCGCACCUGGAGGGGGAACUUGUGCGCAUGUGUGGUGCCCGGGCUUCAUGUCUGGUGUCCAGCUUUUGUGGCUGCCACCAGAGGACACCUCUACAGAACCUGGCUGUGGUGGCCAGGGUGGGGCUUACGCUGGCGGGUCCCACAGGACCGUAACCAACGGAGAAAGAAUCCUUAAACGGCCACCGCCUCCAGGGCACAGCCAGAGGCAACAGGGCCAGGAGCUCAUUCUGUGCCAGAGGCCUAUCUGCUUAUCAACAUAGCUGCAGCCUGAGGGCCAGCCUCCUAACUAAACACACGUCUAAAGGCUGACUGUCAUACUUUCCAGAACCUCAGUGGGUAGGUGCUAUCUUCACCCUCUCCCUCUACCACACUCCAGAGUGCCGGUAGGUCCCAAAGGAAACUCACACGCUCAUCUGGAGCCCUGGUUUUCCAACUGGCACCCAGGGAACACCUCUAGAUCACCUAGAACUAGUGGCUAGAGGGGCUUAGCUUGCCAACCAACAGGGCUGCAUACAUUUCACUGCAUAUAUUUGCAUAUUUUAAAAGCUGCUUCUUUAGAGUCUAGAUUCCAAUCAGCCUGAAUCUAGGUACUGAGAUUGACCUCUUUGGGACACUGAGAGGUCUUGGCACACCCCCAACUAGUGGAAGCCGUGAAAAAUAAAAUAGACUGCUUGGACAAUCACAGAAGUUUGAGAGACAACCAAAAGCAAGGGCGGGGUGGAACAAUAACUUUCCUCUUUUACACGAGGCCAUUCCUUCAAGACUGAGAGAGGUGAAUGCUUUAUCUAAUGCAUAGAAACCAACACAGAGAAUGAAGCAAAGUAAAGAAGUAGAGGAAUAUAUUCUAAAUGAAAAACACAAGAUAAAACUUCAGAGAAAAACCUUCAUAAAACAGAGAUAAGUAAUUUACCCGAAAAAGAGUGCAAAGUAAUGGUCAUAAAUAUGUUCAUCAAGCUUGGAAGAAUGUAUGAGCAUGUGAGAACUUCAAUUAAGAGAUAGAAAAUAUAAGAGAAUCAAAUAGAGGUCACAGAAGAAAACAAAAACACUAAUUUGAGAACAUGUAUGUACCCUCAUGAUCAUUGUGGCAUUAUCUACCACAGGCAAGAAAUAGAAGAAACCUAACUAUUGAUCGAUGAAUUAUACAUAUAAAGAAAACGUGGUAUAUAUUCACAAUGGAUUAUUAUUCAGCCAAGAAAAGAAUGGAAUUUUGCCAUUUGCCACAACAUUGGACCGUGAGGGCAUUAUGCUAACUAAAGAAACUCAGACAGAGAAAGACAGGAAUGCAAUACCUGUAGCAUUUAAGACCAAAUGAAAACUUUUGAAUGAAUGACACAAGGCAAGGCCGGUGGCAGCUUUGGAAAACCAAACAUCAACUAAACCAAGUGAUGCUCUGGGGAAGAGAGAUGAGCUUUCCAAAGGAAGAUAGGCAGCCAAUGAGGAGGAUCCCAUCAAAAGAGAGGUGAG